ACUACCAUCAUGGCGCUGGUGGUGAUCGAUCUCUUUUGCCCCAGCGGCCUAACACAUACAUUACUCGUAUUGCUCAUUUGAGCUACAAUCAGAUGAUAUCAUGCUCGGCGGAUUCCUCCAGGGCGAAGAACAAUAUUGGUGCCUUUACUUACGGGACAUCGCGAAUCUCUUACAGUCAUGGCUUCGGUUGAAAUCAAGCUCCUGUCUGCCCGGCACAGCCAAAGGGAUCCUAUUCGUGAUAUCACGGAUAUCGGCUGCUUCUUUAAUACCACAUUGGCACUGAUUCUGAGAUAAAAUGUUUUCACGCAAGAUCCAUUCAGGAAUGAAGAGUUUGACCCCUCGACCAUUGAUAUUCAACGUCUUCACACGAUUGGGGUCUACGCCUAGCAGAUAAGUGCCGGCGCUCUUCGUAAUGGCGUAGUCGAUGUUCGGUGAAUCAAGUUUCUGCGCUAGCGCGGAAACAUUGGUUCUCAGGUUUUGGGAAAUGAGCGGCGCCAUUAUACUUCAUAUCUAGAAUGGAACCCUUCCAAGUGUAAUUCACUGCGACCCGCCUCACCUGGUCUGCUACGAGGGGUCUAUAUUGAGACUCGAUUUUCCACGAACACACCACCAGAAUGAGAUCUCAACUGUCUUGCGAGAUGAUGGCGUUGCGACCUCUACAUUUGCUCCUUCAUCAGGCGGUGAUGUCUCAGCACUGCUGUUAUUCUGAUCUUCUCCAGUGGUAGCAGGAGUCUGUUCUUUGGGAGAACCUAUAUACAUGGUUUCUUGCCAGCGGAAUCGACUCGUUCAGGGUACUGUGAUAUAUUGAGCUCCGGAGCCUCUCCUGCUCCUACUUGUCAUCCAGCUUCUCUUACUCUUGGUGUUCUUGUCAGGGUAUAACUCCUCAUACUCAGGCGGUUCCGUGAUGAAGCGCCGCUUUCGGGCUCUCGAUCAAAAUACCUAGUGGAAGAGUUCCUGACAUUCGGCGUUCCAGAGACAUCUCAUUGCGAAUAGCCGGACGUUGACCAGAUGGGUCAUGUGGGAUCAGACAGCGGUAGCAUCCGGCAUUAGUUCGCGCUCGAAGAUGUCUGGUUCCGGUGAUUUUUCGGGAUAUGCCAUUGACUCUGGUUGGAGCACUUCCGUACUUCUCGGCACAUGUCCUCCCGCUGUCACCUCAUCCUCUUGUGAUAGUUCCGGCUCCGCAGCCUAGCCCGUGAUCUCCAUGUCUAUCCGCUUCGGAUCCGAGUCCUGGGCCCCGAGCGGAUCAGCGUCGGGAGGCACCAGAGCACUGCAUUUUUCAUCCGCCAUGUCCUGAUCCAGCUCCAUCAGCUGCUAAUUUGAUUCGGCGGUCCCAUCGACCUCGCAAGGCCCGUCGUUCAGUUUUCGGGGAACAUGUUCCGAACUGCCAUCCGGAAUGAACAGUGGCGACAUGGAAACUUCGAAACAUUGUCAAAGAGGACGAACUUAAUGCAGCAGCGGACCAAGAAUGUGAUGACGGUGUCGGUCCCCGACACCACAUCGUCGUGCACAUGAGUGAGGAAGGGAAACGGACUGUCUUGUCUGUGCUUGCACGUCUACAGCAUACUGCAAAGCACUCGCCGCUUCACAUUGCUGUUAGCAAGAAGUUCAGAUGCCUUGGCAAACUGGUCAGGGACUGCAGCCGAAAAACAGGCAACAUUUUUUUUUUUUUUUUUUUUUUAGCCAAUGAGUGUACAAACACGCGAUGGCCGUAUUGAAAGUGACUCAUUUUUCAGGACAGGAGCAGAAAAGUUCACACUAUCAGCCAGUCAGAAGACAGGCACAUCAAUCCUUUGAUCUCAUCGGACUAAAAUCCAACGCAGUGAGCCAGUUCAGCCAUCUUGCACACCCCACACUCAUAAGCCUUGGCGCGAUUCCGUUUGGCUAACAGCUUGUCUUCAUUCUUUGGGUUAGGCGGUGUUGAGGGAGAACGGCGCAUGGCAUAGAGCCAAUCUGUCAGUGCAUCCAGCUUGAGAUGAUUGUUACUCAUUACACGCAUCUGCCAGAAUGCCAACUCCAACAUCUGAAUGAGACACUGUUUCUUCAUCUCAGCAGGCGGAAUGAACAUGUGCUCCAUGAUAUUCCCAAUAAACGUUUUCAACGGACCGAAGAAUUAUUCCACACAGUGAGCACAGUAUUUCUUGGUGCUUGAAGUCCCCAAAGAACAUGUGCAGGCAAGGCAUCAGCCUGCUGAACCCUUCCUGCAGUCUUAAAGACUUAGCACUAUAUUAAUAUGCUGUUACGCUUUUUGAUAUACUAUAUUUCAAUCUAUCUUCAAUUUCUGUUUUGAAAAAUUGAAAAAAAAAAAAAAAAAAAAUUGUCUUGGAUACUAUAUUCCCCUUUACUAUAUAUUCAGAUUUAUUUUAAAAUAUUAAGUAUUGGUGGAGUUGUUUCAUAAUAUAUGAUGUUUUCAUACUCUAGCAUAGCAAUCUAUCCGGGUGGAAAUUUUUAUAUUUUCCCGUGGUCUGGCAGCAUUUUUGUUUUUUCAAGUAAUCCGUCUGCCACGAUAACUACAUAAAGUAGCUUCAACAAUAAUAAAAAAUUUUAAAAAAACAUGAAACCAAGAUCAGCCAUUUAAAAGGCAACAGUAAGACAGUGCCUGGGAGGAUUGAGAUGGCGAACCAACUUCCAAGUAAACAAUGGGAAGAAAGGUUUUCCAUUAAAAUUUGUGUUCCAUAUUUGAAAUAACGAAAGCAAAAUGCCGGAAAGAGAGAAUAAUUGAAGGAACAAGCGAUCAACAAGCUAGAUCAAGGAUGCAAGAUGCGUCAUAAAAUGCCCCUCACGGCAACCAUGCAAAAUGGCAUACGAUAUAUGUAUAUAAAGAAGCACGAGACAAUCACAUAUAUCAUUCCUUCUUCUUUGGCGAUCCUUUCUUUCCCUUCCCCGCAGGUCCCAGCGCCGCAGACCGCAACUUCGUUUCCCUCUCCUUCGCCUCGGCCUUUUCACGCUCUCGUUCCUCCCUCUCCUCCUUUUCAGCCUCCUUGCGCGCCUUCUCCGCCUCACGGCGUUCUUUGACAAGCGCCAGGCGGGCGAGGUCGGCGCGGGCCUCCUCAGUCUUGCCUUCGGCGUGCAGUUUCAUGUACCGCUCGCGCGCCUGCUGCGCAUGGAUAGCUUCCCUCUCCCGGCGAGAGAGCUGUGACAUAUCACCGGAUUUUGCAUCGGCGGAUGCGGUGUCCCCAUUGGCUAGUGCGGGUCCCUUCGCGGCUUGAGAGCGUGAUUUGGCGGUAUGAUUGGGAUUAGCGGGCAUGUCGUCAUCGUCUUCAUCUUCGUCAUCGGAUGGGGGCAGGUCACCCGGGGCGACCUUGUUCUUUUUGGCAAUGGCAGCUUCCUUUCUGGCUUUUGCGGCGGCUUUGCGUUCCUCGCGGGUCAUCUCUUGCGUGGAUGAAGACUGGCCGCGACCCGACUCCCCCUCAGACUCUCCCUCAGACUCCUCCUCCUCGGAACCUUCUUCUGAAUCCUCUUCUGAUUCAUCUACGACAUCAUCCGGGUCCCGCCACAUGCCAAGAGGAUUUCCAUCUUUGUCUAAAGGUUGAAGAUUACGGCUGAAGUGUUUGCCUCCUCCUCGAGUUGGUUUACUGAAUUUUCCUCCACGUCCUCGGGGGGCCAUAUUGAAGAACUGGCUGAAGGCGUACAAUAGCUAUCGUAUUAAAAAUAAAAAUUGAAAAAGAGAGUUUCCACAAAGAACGGUAGCAAAAAAGCUGGGAGCGAGGGGUAGAUAUCCCAGUAUGUAUGCACUUGAAUGCGGGGUGGUUUUUUGCAUAGAUUUGAACCGGUGUUUGCUAGGCGGAAACUGGAAUACAGGAUCCGAGUAUAUAGCAGCUGAAUCGGCAGUAGCGGUAUACUCU
rnacentral:sRNA from 2 species